CAAAGUGACAGGUGGUGCAUGGUUGUCGUCAGCUCGUGUCGUGAGAUGUUGGGUUAAGUCCCGCAACGAGCGCAACCCUUAAGCUUAGUUGCCAUCAUUAAGUUGGGCACUCUAAGUUGACUGCCGGUGACAAACCGGAGGAAGGUGGGGAUGACGUCAAAUCAUCAUGCCCCUUAUGAUUUGGGCUACACACGUGCUACAAUGGACAAUACAAAGGGCAGCGAAACCGCGAGGUCAAGCAAAUCCCAUAAAGUUGUUCUCAGUUCGGAUUGUAGUCUGCAACUCGACUACAUGAAGCUGGAAUCGCUAGUAAUCGUAGAUCAGCA
rnacentral:rRNA from 1 species